CUCCGGGAAACCGGGGCUAAUACCGGAUGGUUGUCUGAACCGCAUGGUUCAGACAUAAAAGGUGGCUUCGGCUACCACUUACAGAUGGACCCGCGGCGCAUUAGCUAGUUGGUGAGGUAACGGCUCACCAAGGCGACGAUGCGUAGCCGACCUGAGAGGGUGAUCGGCCACACUGGGACUGAGACACGGCCCAGACUCCUACGGGAGGCAGCAGUAGGGAAUCUUCCGCAAUGGACGAAAGUCUGACGGAGCAACGCCGCGUGAGUGAUGAAGGUUUUCGGAUCGUAAAGCUCUGUUGUUAGGGAAGAACAAGUGCCGUUCAAAUAGGGCGGCACCUUGACGGUACCUAACCAGAAAGCCACGGCUAACUACGUGCCAGCAGCCGCGGUAAUACGUAGGUGGCAAGCGUUGUCCGGAAUUAUUGGGCGUAAAGGGCUCGCAGGCGGUUUCUUAAGUCUGAUGUGAAAGCCCCCGGCUCAACCGGGGAGGGUCAUUGGAAACUGGGGAACUUGAGUGCAGAAGAGGAGAGUGGAAUUCCACGUGUAGCGGUGAAAUGCGUAGAGAUGUGGAGGAACACCAGUGGCGAAGGCGACUCUCUGGUCUGUAACUGACGCUGAGGAGCGAAAGCGUGGGGAGCGAACAGGAUUAGAUACCCUGGUAGUCCACGCCGUAAACGAUGAGUGCUAAGUGUUAGGGGGUUUCCGCCCCUUAGUGCUGCAGCUAACGCAUUAAGCACUCCGCCUGGGGAGUACGGUCGCAAGACUGAAACUCAAAGGAAUUGACGGGGGCCCGCACAAGCGGUGGAGCAUGUGGUUUAAUUCGAAGCAACGCGAAGAACCUUACCAGGUCUUGACAUCCUCUGACAAUCCUAGAGAUAGGACGUCCCCUUCGGGGGCAGAGUGACAGGUGGUGCAUGGUUGUCGUCAGCUCGUGUCGUGAGAUGUUGGGUUAAGUCCCGCAACGAGCGCAACCCUUGAUCUUAGUUGCCAGCAUUCAGUUGGGCACUCUAAGGUGACUGCCGGUGACAAACCGGAGGAAGGUGGGGAUGACGUCAAAUCAUCAUGCCCCUUAUGACCUGGGCUACACACGUGCUACAAUGGACAGAACAAAGGGCAGCGAAACCGCGAGGUUAAGCCAAUCCCACAAAUCUGUUCUCAGUUCGGAUCGCAGUCUGCAACUCGACUGCGUGAAGCUGGAAUCGCUAGUAAUCGCGGAUCAGCAUGCCGCGGUAAUACGUUCCCGGGCCUU
rnacentral:rRNA from 1 species